rnacentral:rRNA from 1 species
AUCGAACGCUGGCGGCAGGCCUAACACAUGCAAGUCGAGCGGAUGAAGGGAGCUUGCUCCUGGAUUCAGCGGCGGACGGGUGAGUAAUGCCUAGGAAUCUGCCUGGUAGUGGGGGAUAACGUCCGGAAACGGGCGCUAAUACCGCAUACGUCCUGUGGGAGGAAGUGGGGGAUCUUCGGACCUCACGCUAUCAUCUGAGCCUAGGUCGGAUUAGCUGGUUCGUGGGUUAAAGGCCUACCAAGGCUACGAUCCGUAACUGGUCUGAGAGGAUGAUCAGUCACACUGUGAGAGAGACACGGCCGCGACUCCUACAGGAGGCCGCAGUGGGGAAUAUUGGAGGAUGGGGGAAAGCCUGAUCCAGCCAUGCCGCGUGUGUGAAGAAGGUCUUCGGAUUGUAAAGCACUUUAAGUUGGGAGGAAGGGCAGUAAGUUAAUACCGUGCUGUUUUGACGUUACCAACAGAAUAAGCUCCGGCUAACUUCGUG